GCCCCCUGCCCGCCGCGCCCCGACCAUAGAGGUGGGCCUCCAGGAAGAACUUCACCCAAUGAAACAACAAUAUUGAACUUAAUGGAGACAAGACUGUUAAAAACUAGAAUGAGGAGGAAAGACCUUACUAAGUAGAUCCUCUUCUGCAACUAUGUUCACUGUUCUCACAAUCAGGCAGAGGCAGGAAAAGCACUGUCCACGAUGAUCCGUCUGCCCUGCCAAGAUGCGAGACUGGCAAAACCUCCUGUGGCAUCACAUCCCAGAGCAGUCUCAUGCUCGCAGUUCUACCGACAGCCUCAAGGAAAUGGUAAAUCGAAAUCCCUGCCUCAGAGGGAAUUCAUUUAGCCUCUAGUCCAGUUAAGUAAUCUGUGCCAGACAUUACUUCUGGCCUUUAGACUCAUAAAAGUCCAUCUGAAGGCUGUUAAGACUUCAUUUUCUUUGUCUCUGAAGCACAGAAAAGAACACCAACUUUCAAGUCUUUGAAAAUGAAUAAACAUUUGUGAGUAUGAACUA